rnacentral:tRNA from 1 species
GGGCGCGUAGCCUAGCCUGGAUAGGGCACCGGGUUCCUAACCCGGGGGUCGGGGGUUCAAAUCCCCCCGCGCCCG